CUUUCUCCAGUUGUUCUGUCCUUACUGGGGAGGAGCCCAGGGACAUAUUUCACAGCUAAGUCAACUGCUUUUCUUCAAAUUCAGAUUUAAUCCUUGAGUGAAAUGAGUCACUGGCUCAUCCAGUUAAGAUCAUCACCCACUUUCCUAACAAAACUUCUCUUCAAAGAAGGACUCGCUCAUCCAUCAGGUGGACCUCCACAGGAACAAAUCAUAUCCAUGUCAGGCGGCACCAAACCUAAAUCUGCUUCUGCCUCAGCAGACAGGACAUGUUGAGUUUGGCCAGUGAGUGCUGCAGGAUACUGGAGGGAGGGCAACAGAGAGGAAGGUCACCUACAUGUCUAUGUUCAGAAGCUGCCUUGAUGCCACAUGCGGGAGGCUGGAAACGCUGAAGGAUGACCACUGCUCAGCAGCAGUCUACCAGUGAUGGAUGAGAGUUGGUGCACAAAUACCCCAGCUCCCUUGCCUCUCAGUUUGGAUAAUCCUGAAAAGGUGUGUACUAUGCUAUUUCUGAGAUUAAGCCCUAGUUACCCAUAGUGGUAGCUAAAUAUAGUAGUUGGCUGUAUUCUCCAUCACUUCUUGAAUCCCCUGCCAGUGUUCUCUGCACCUCCUUAAUAAACCACUUGAAACAAAAAUCAAGUCUUUCUUUCUCUCACGGUCUGCAUCUUGGGGAACACAAACUAAGACACAGUCUCAAAAAAGUUAACAUUUGUAAAACAUCUAGUUUAUUUUUUCAUCUUACCCUACAAGUAAUAAAAAAGACAAAAAAAACCAAAACAAAACACCUUUCAUGGGAGAGGGGACAUUCAACUAAGAUGCUUUGAGUUGCUUUUCCUGUUAACGUUAUGCCAAAUUUAGAAGAAAAGAAUGCCAGAAGAGGGCAGAGGAUAUGUAUUAUGUCUAUAUCUUCGAGACAUGAGGUCUUGCUAUGUUCCCCAGGCUAGAAUGCAGUGGCUAUUCAUAAGCAG
rnacentral:lncRNA from 10 species